rnacentral:tRNA from 1 species
AGUCUUUUAGCUAUAGUAAGUGAAUGUUUUGAAAGCAUUAGAAAAGUAAAAUCUUAAAGGCUU